GUCUACGGCCAUACCACCCUGAACGCGCCCGAUCUCGUCUGAUCUCGGAAGCUAAGCAGGGUCGGGCCUGGUUAGUACUUGGAUGGGAGACUGCUUUUGUUUAGUUCAUAGUUAACC
rnacentral:rRNA from 1 species